CACUAAGAAGCUAAGCCGGGCCUAGCAUUAGCCUUUUAAGCUAAAGAAUGGUGACUCCCAACCACCCUUGGUGA
rnacentral:tRNA from 1 species